rnacentral:lncRNA from 1 species
UUCAUACUGUCAAACAGAUUAUAAAACAUCUUCAAAAAGGAAACCAUUUGUGUCAUGAUCAGGUGACAAUGGCUUGUUAACCCCUGCGGCUGGAUUCUCUGCAGUGAUGCUGAGCAACAACUUGCUUCGCGUGCAUGCAAUCCAAGGCAUAGGUGCGCGGUUUUUCCUUCGAAGAAAUGUUAAUUUUUAGCGCCGAGAUCCUUUUCCUCCUGAUCGAACCGAUCUGCGCGUAUCUCAGCAACGAUAAUGAUGUUCUUGAUUCUUU